GACGAACGCUGGCGGCGUGCUUAACACAUGCAAGUCGAGCGGUAAGGCCCUUUCGGGGGUACACGAGCGGCGAACGGGUGAGUAACACGUGGGUGACCUGCCCUCAGCUCUGGGAUAAGCCUGGGAAACUGGGUCUAAUACUGGAUAUGACUCCACGGUGCAUGUCGUGGGGUGGAAAGCCUUGUGCGGCUGAGGAUGGGCCCGCGGCCUAUCAGCUUGUUGGUGGGGUGANGGCCUACCAAGGCGACGACGGGUAGCCGGCCUGAGAGGGCGACCGGCCACACUGGGACUGAGACACGGCCCAGACUCCUACGGGAGGCAGCAGGUGGGGAAUCUUGCGCAAUGGGCGAAAGCCUGACGCAGCGACGCCGCGU
rnacentral:rRNA from 1 species